UGUAGGAGUGAGCCUGCUCGCGAUAGCGGUGUGUCAGUUAGGGAUAUUUGGCUGACACACCGCUAUCGCGAGCAGGCUCACUCCUACA
rnacentral:antisense_RNA from 1 species